UACGGGGUAGGGGCAGCGUUCGUCGAAUCAUUGGGCGUAAAGAGCGUGUAGGCGCCAGAAAAGUCCGCUGUGAAAACUCGAGGCUCAACUUCGAGCUGUCGGUGGAAACUUUCUGGCUAGAGUCCGGAAGAGGAGAAUGGAAUUCCUGGUGUAGCGGUGAAAUGCGCAGAUAUCAGGAAGAACACCCGUGGCGAAGGCGGUUCUCUGGGACGGUACUGACGCUGGAGACGCGAAAGCGUGGGGAGCAAACAGG
rnacentral:rRNA from 1 species